rnacentral:tRNA from 1 species
GCCUAGUUAGUUUAGCUGGUAGAGCGUCUGCCUUGUAAGUGCUAGGUCGCGGGUUCGAUUCCCGCCCAGGGCG